GACGUAGGUGGCGAACGUUAUCCGGAAUCAUUGGGCGUAAAGGGUGCGUAGAUGGCAUGAUAAGUUAUUAGUGGGAAAUCGAGGCUCAACCUCGUGGAAGCUGGUAAUACUGUCAGGCUCGAGUGCAGGAGAGGUUAACGGAACUCCAUGUGGAGCGGUAAAAUGUGUAGAUAUAUGGAAGAACACCAAUAACGGCGAAGGCAGUUAACUAUUCUGUUACUGACAUUGAGGCACGAAAGCGUGGGGAGCAAAACGG
rnacentral:rRNA from 1 species